UUGCCAGACUCCUACGGGAGGCAGCAGUGGGGAAUAUUGCACAAUGGGGGGAACCCUGAUGCAGCAACGCCGCGUGGGUGAAGAAGUCUUUCGGUAUGUAAAGCCCUAUCAGCAGGGAAGAAGAUGACGGUACCUGACUAAGAAGCCCCGGCUAAAUACGUGCCAGCAGCCGCGGUAAUACGUAUGGGGCAAGCGUUAUCCGGAUUUACUGGGUGUAAAGGGAGCGCAGGCGGCGCGGCAAGUCAGAUGUGAAAGCCCGGGGCUCAACCCCGGGACUGCAUUUGAAACUGCCGUGCUGGAGUGUCGGAGAGGCAAGUGGAAUUCCUAGUGUAGCGGUGAAAUGCGUAGAUAUUAGGAGGAACACCAGUGGCGAAGGCGGCUUGCUGGACGAUAACUGACGCUGAGGCUCGAAAGCGUGGGGAGCAAACAGGAUUAGAUACCCUGGUAAG
rnacentral:rRNA from 1 species